GGAAGGCCCAUGAAUCCAGUAGUUGUUCAGUCUACAAGGCAGGAUGUCUCAGCUGGUCUUAAGUAUACCCUGGAAUCCCGAAAACGUAGGCUGUAAUGUCUGUGAAAGAAUGGACUUGCUAGAACCAGAGCAGGCAGACAAGAAGAAAGCAGGCUGCCUUCUGUGUCUUUUAUGUAGGUUGUCAGCAGAAGCUCUGGUCCAGAUUAAAGGUGGAUCUUCCUGCCUCAAAGAUCCAGAUUAGAAGUAUGUCUUGUUACUUCAAAUGAUGUAAUUAAAAAAAUCCCUCAGAGAUGUGCCAUCAGGUGGGUUUUAGUUAAUUCUUUCAUAGGUACAGAUUAGACAGAUCUGAAUUCAGAAAGACAAUCACAGGGUGGAAUUUCAUAAAUCUUUCCAGUCUACAAGUAGAGUCUCUACAUUGAGUCCCUCUUUGAUUUCAGUUAUUGGCGUUACAGUUUACAGAUCCUGUGUCUUCAUUCCCCCAAUACUCAUUUUUAGGUGGAACAAUUUAAAGUGUCAUUGAUUUUAUAAUUUAGUAUUAUCAUUUAUACAGAUAGGCAGUAUUAUUAUUUAUACAGAUAGGUGUGAUUUGAGUUUGUUGACUUUGUACUUUAUAGUCUUGUUAAAUUCAGUUUGUUUCACCUUGGUUUAUUUUUGUGGGUUCUUUUUGAUUUCUUGAGUUUCCUGUGUAAGUCAGUUUCAUUUUACCCUUUUUAGUUCGUAGGCUCCCCCCUCCCCUUUUUGGUCUGUUUGUUUUGGAGAUGGAGUCUUCACGAAGUCUAUGCUGAUCUUGAAAUGACUUUGUGACUGAGAUGUCCUUGGGUGCCUGAUCUCCUGCCUCCCAGGUGCUGAGAUGAAGCCUAUUAACCACAUCAUCUUUCUUGGUUAUACUGCCUAGACAAUAGAGAAGUCGAUCAGCCUGGUAUUAGCUAUGCUUUAGGACGGUGAACACAUUGCUCUUCAUCAGUACGUGGAAUGCUACCUGUUAUCCAUUCUUCCUUUUUUAAAUCAGGCUGAAAUUUCCCAAAAUUUCUAGCUAGCUAAACUUCAGGAAAGGGUGUAAAAGUCCCGUGUGAUGGUGCGCCAGCUUUAAUCCCAGCGUGGCAGGCAGGUGGGUCUCUGAACUCAAGGCUAGCCUGGUCCACAGAGCCAGAUAGCUACACAGAGGAAAACCUGUUUUGAAAAACAACAAAAGCAGAAUAACAGAAAACAAGAUGAGAAAAGUUGUUUAAUACUUCCAGAUCAUGUCUCUGUGGUACCUGGUUUGACCAUUUUCUUGUCUGGACUGUUAAUGUGGUGAGCUGUACUUACUUUCAGAUUGUGAAAUAGCUUGUCACAAUCCCUCACCCAAACCUAGCCAUGAGUAUCACUCAGUUUACAUAUUUACAUUCAUCUCAGAUUUGUGUUCAUUUGGAAUACUGAUAAUUUUUCUGCUGUCUUCCUCUUGUCUUCAUGCAUUAAUUCUGAUCCUGUAAGAUGAACUGUGAAAUAGCUCUGUCUAGAAGAGAGUUAUUAGAACCUUGUGACCCUUUUACAUUUAAAAAAAUAUUUAUUAUUC
rnacentral:lncRNA from 1 species